CGCGGCCUAUCAGCUUGUUGGUGAGGUAAUGGCUCACCAAGGCGACGACGGGUAGCCGGCCUGAGAGGGCGACUGGCCACACUGGGACUGAGACACGGCCCAGACUCCUACGGGAGGCAGCAAUAGGGAAUAUUGCACAAUGGGCGAAAGCCUGAUGCAGCGACGCCGCGUGAGGGAUGACGGCCUUCGGGUUGUAAACCUCUUUCAGCAGGGAAGAAGCGAAAGUGACGGUACCUGCAGAAGAAGCACCGGCUAACUACGUGCCAGCAGCCGCGGUAAUACGUAGGGUGCGAGCGUUGUCCGGAAUUAUUGGGCGUAAAGAGCUUGUAGGCGGUUUGUCGCGUCUGCUGUGAAGAUCCGGGGCUCAACCCCGGACUUGCAGUGGGUACGGGCAGACUAGAGUGUGGUAGGGGAGACUGGAAUUCCUGGUGUAGCGGUGACAUGCGCAGAUAUCAGGAGGAACACCGAUGGCGAAGGCAGGUCUCUGGGCCACUACUGACGCUGAGAAGCGAAAGCAUGGGGAGCGAACAGGAUUAGAUACCCUGGUAGUCCAUGCCGUAAACGGUGGGCACUAGAUGUGGGGGCCAUUCCAUGGUUUCCGCGUCGCAGCUAACGCAUUAAGUGCCCCGCCUGGGGAGUACGG
rnacentral:rRNA from 1 species